GUCUAAUCAGAGGAGGAAUUUAAGGAUUCCGAGCACUGAUCACUGGGGCUAAGACACAUUUAAGACACAUUUUCUACUGACCAGCCGGGCUAAGUACACGUUUAGACAAGGGGGUCCCUAAAGGGGUUUUCUGCUGACCAGCCGGGCUAAUACACGUUUAGACAAGGGGGUCCCUAAAGGGGUUUUCUGCUGACCAGCCGGGCUAAGUACACGUUUAGACAAGGGGGUUCCUAAAGGGGUUUUCUGCUGACCAGCCGGGCUAAGUACACGUUUAGACAAGGGGGUCCCUAAAGGGGUUUUCUGCUGACCAGCUGGGCUAAUACACGUUUAGACAAGGGGGUUCCUAAAGGGGUUUUCUGCUGACCAGCCGGGCUAAGUACACGUUUAGACAAGGGGGUCCCUAAAGGGGUUUUCUGCUGACCAGCCGGGCUAAGUACACGUUUAGACAAGGGGGUUCCUAAAGGGGUUUUCUGCUGACCAGCCGGGCUAAGUACACGUUUAGACAAGGGGUUCCUAAAGGGGUUUUCU